rnacentral:misc_RNA from 1 species
GAUGAAGAACGUAGCGAAAUGCGAUACGUAAUGUGAAUUGCAGAGUUCAGUGAAUCAUCGAGUCUUUGAACGCACAUUGCGCCCCCUGGUAUUCCGGGGGGCAUGCCUGUCCGAGCGUCAUUGCUGCCCUCAAGCACGGCUUGUGUGUUGGGCCUCCGUCCUCCUCCCGGGGGACGGGCCCGAAAGGCAGCGGCGGCACCGCGUCCGGUCCUCGAGCGUAUGGGGCUUCGUCACCCGCUCUUGUAGGCCCGGCCGGCGCUUGCCGACACAUCAAUCUUUUUUCCAGGUUGACCUCGGAUCAGGUAGGGAUACCCGCUGAACUUAAGCAUAUCAAUAAGCGGAGGA